rnacentral:lncRNA from 1 species
GGCCCUUAAUACAUUAAGUAUAAGAAAAACUAUGAGCAUAAUGAUGUAGACUGAAGAGAAUUUAAUGAACAAAUAAGUGACCUUCACAUUUAUGUGAGAUAAAGAUUUCAUGCCAAAUUUUGCAUAAUAUACACUGGAAAUAAUGGGAUAUUUAUUAGAUUUCUUCUCUCCUUUUUCUUCUUCUUUAAACAACACUUUUUCUUCUUUUUGCAGAGCAGACCUAUGUCAUCCAUGGAUAUGUGGCUGGGGAGAGUGCAGCUGGCCUGCAGUGGCUAAACCUUUUAAUUCUACCUGGGGGAAUCUGAUUGAGCAAGGGAAAGGUGUAAGUCAUCCACACCUGCUUCAGAGUGGCAGCUGCACUGGAGGGCUAUCUCACAAGGUGACCUGCUCUGAAGAUGGGGAAAGUGCCGAGCCAGGAGGAGGUGUGCAGAGGAGGACGUGGUGGUUAAAGCACAAACGCUUCACUCAUACCUUAACCGGCGCUAUCUCCUGA